GACGAACGCUGGCGGCGUGCUUAACACAUGCAAGUCGUACGGUAAGGCCCUUUCGGGGGUACACGAGUGGCGAACGGGUGAGUAACACGUGAGUAACCUGCCCACAACUUUGGGAUAACGCUAGGAAACUGGUGCUAAUACUGGAUAUGUGCUCCUGCUGCAUGGUGGGGGUUGGAAAGCUCCGGCGGUUGUGGAUGGACUCGCGGCCUAUCAGCUUGUUGGUGGGGUAGUGGCCUACCAAGGCGGCGACGGGUAGCCGGCCUGAGAGGGUGACCGGCCACUUUGGGACUGGGAUACGCCCCAGCCUCCUGGGGGGGGAAGCAGGGGGGAAUUUGGCACAAGGGGCGCAGGCUUGAUGCAGCAGCGCGGCGUGCGGGAUGACGGCCUGGGGGUUGAAACCCGCUUCCAGCAGGGACGAGGCUUUUUGGGAGGGUACCUGAAAAAGAAGCACCGGCUAACUACGUG
rnacentral:rRNA from 1 species